rnacentral:piRNA from 1 species
UGUACAAUGCCUAUUAAGCUCUCAACUAG